rnacentral:lncRNA from 1 species
GCAGAUACUUCUCUCUUUCUCUCUUUCUAUCUUUCUAGACAUUCUCUCUGUCUAUCUAGACUACCACCAUCCUCCACCACCACACCACCACCAUUCUCCACCACCGCAUCAUCCCCACCACCACCGCAUCAUCCCCACCAUCACCAUCCCACUGCCGCCAACACCACCUCCACCACCGCAUCAUCCCCACCACCACCAUUACCGCCGUCUCACCUCCUCCGCCGCCGCCGCCACUCCUCCACCACCGCCGCCGCCCCACUGCUACCACCACCGUCUCACAUAUCUGUUGGAGAUCGUGGGGUUUGGAUGCUGCAUUUGUUCUUUGAAGAAGGUUAAGUUUUUAGAUGUUGUUUGGGCUUUUAAGUGAUUUAGGAGCUGGAUGCAUAUUUUUUUUAGCUAAACAUCGCAAGUUGAUUAUUGCGAAUAUAGUUCUACUCAUUAUUUGUUCUAAGAUUAUAGCCCUCAUUUGAUUCUAUUGAAAAUUUUAGUUGU